UGUUAUGUGGCGGAGUUGAUUAACGCGCCCUGUCUCGCGAACUUAGGAAGACGUGGGUUCAACCCCCACCAGAACUA
rfam:Aedes albopictus isolate Foshan contig27223, whole genome shotgun sequence.